rnacentral:siRNA from 1 species
UAACAUCACGUGUUCCUCUUCCU